GCCCGGAUAGUUUAACGGUCAGAACAUGGGUCUCAUAUGUGAUUAUGUGACCAAGCGAAGCAUUGGCUAUCCCAAGAUCUGAGUUCGAUUCUCAGUCCAGGCA